GAUGAACGCUGGCGGCGUGCCUAAUACAUGCAAGUCGAGCGAACGGACGAGAAGCUUGCUUCUUUGAUGUUAGCGGAGGACGGGUGAGUAACAUGUGGAUAACCUACCUAUAUGACUGGGAUAACUUCGGGAAACCGUAGCUAAUACCGGAUAAUAUUUUGAACCGCAUGGUUCAUAAGUGAAAGACGGUCUUGCUGUCACUUAUAGCUGGAUCCGCGCUGCAUUAGCUAGUUGGUAAGGUAACGGCUUACCAAGGCAAGGAUGCAUAGCCGACCGGAGAGGGUGAUCGGCCACACUGGAACUGAGACGCGGUCCAGACUCCUACGGGAGGCAGCAGUAGGGAAUCGUCCGCAAUGGGCGAAAGCCUGACGGAGCAACGCCGCGUGAGUGAUGAAGGUCUUCGGAUCGUAAAACUCUGUUAUUGGGGAAGAACAUAUGUGUAAGUAACUGUGCACAUCUUGACGGUACCUAAUCAGAAAGCCACGGCUAACUACGUG
rnacentral:rRNA from 1 species